rnacentral:rRNA from 1 species
UUAGCCGACGCUCUUUACCUUGCUUAUGCGCACCUUUUGUGUUUCCUCGGCAGGUUUCCUGCCGCAAGGACCCUCAAACCUUUUGUAUUCAGCAUCAAACUUCUGAUACCAACACAA